rnacentral:lncRNA from 1 species
CAAAAGCAGUGCCAACUGUGGGGCUCACCUUCCUGGAUUCCUGUCUUCUUCCUAGAUCUUGGUCCGUGAAACAACCUAGUGAGAUCCAGUACAGCUUCCAACUUAUAUUAGACCAACUUUCCUCCCUAUGACAUUAAUAGCUGGGGUAUGGAGCUGUCAGAGUGAUACGUAAACUCCAAUCAGAUCACCAACUGGCCUCAGAAAUGCACACAUACAAGGACAUUUGUGUACUCACUGCUCAAUCGAGGGAGGCCUUAUCCAGCUAUACUCAUUCUCAGAGGCAUUGCCUUCUGCACUGGAAAUGGAGUCCUUCAAGGCUACUAUCUGAUUUACUGUGCUGAAUACCCUGAUGGGUGGUACACAGACAUACGGUUUAGCUUGGGUGUCUUCUUAUUUAUUUUGGGAAUGGGAAU